AUGAGAACACCUCAUGGAGCGCUCCUCUUGCUCUUCAUUGUGGCGUGCCUCCGCGGUGCUUACUCCGGCGGCGGCUGGAGCCGCUUCACCUCCAUAAUCAGCUUUGGGGACUCCUACGCCGACACGGGUAACUUGAUCAUGUGGGCUGAUCCCGUCCUUCCGGGUCUACUACUCAAGAACCUCCCCUACGGCGAGACCUUCUUCGGCCACCCCACCGGGCGUGCCACCGACGGCCGCCUGGUGCUGGACUUCAUCGCCGAGGCUUUGGGUCUGCCUUCUAUGCCGCCGUACCUCGCCAGGGGAAGCAACUUCUCCGCCGGAGUGAACUUCGCCGUGGUAGGAGCGCCGGCUCUGAACUUGACGUACCUGCAGGGACUGAACUUGACAGUGAAUCCUCCUAUUAACAGCUCCCUCCACGACCAGCUCGUGUGGUUCCAGAAACUCAAGCCUUCGCUCUGCAAUGGACAAGGUACUGACUGCUUUGGGAGCUCCCUGUUUGUCAUGGGAGAGUUUGGAGGAAAUGACUACAUAAGCUUCCUUCUGUCCAACAGAACCGUUGAACAAGCCAGACCUUAUGUUCCUCAAAUUGUCGACAGCAUUUCCAGAGGCCUAGAGAGACUAGUUCAACAUGGCGCCAAGUACAUCGUUGUGGCAGACAUCUUCCCGAUUGGCUGCCUACCAGCAGCGCUCACAAAGCUCGCUAGCCCAAACAAGGUGGAGUAUGAUCGGCACGGAUGCCUGAAGAGUGUUAACAGGUUGGGCCGCUACCACAACUCUCUCCUUCGUCAACAGAUCAAGAUGCUCCGGUACAAGUACCCACAUACUAAGAUCAUUGCCGCCGAAUACUACAAACCCUUCCUUGCAUUUUUAGAUAUGCCGGGAGAUUUUGGACUGAAUAGCAGCACAACCCUCCUCACCUGUUGUGGUGCAGGAGGCCCUCCUUAUAACUACGACUUCAACGCAGGGUGCGGCCUGCCGGAUGUGAAGGCGUGUGCAGAUACAUCUCAGGCGCUUCAGUGGGAUGGUUUCCACCUCACGGAAUCCGCCUACAGAGCCAUUGCUGAUGGAUGGCUCCAUGGCCCAUACGCGGAUCCACCGAUAUUGCACAUUGCACGCUAG
rnacentral:rRNA from 1 species